rnacentral:rRNA from 1 species
GAGCAACGCCGCGUGAGUGAUGAAGGUCUUCGGAUCGUAAAACUCUGUUAUUAGGGAAGAACAAAUGUGUAAGUAACUAUGCACGUCUUGACGGUACCUAAUCAGAAAGCCACGGCUAACUACGUGCCAGCAGCCGCGGUAAUACGUAGGUGGCAAGCGUUAUCCGGAAUUAUUGGGCGUAAAGCGCGCGUAGGCGGUUU